rnacentral:rRNA from 1 species
AGUCGAACGGCAGCGCGGGGCAACCUGGCGGCGAGUGGCGAACGGGUGAGUAAUAUAUCGGAACGUACCCAAGAGUGGGGGAUAACGUAGCGAAAGUUACGCUAAUACCGCAUACGAUCUAUGGAUGAAAGUGGGGGAUCGCAAGACCUCAUGCUCCUGGAGCGGCCGAUAUCUGAUUAGCUAGUUGGUGAGGUAAAGGCUCACCAAGGCGACGAUCAGUAGCUGGUCUGAGAGGACGACCAGCCACACUGGAACUGAGACACGGUCCAGACUCCUACGGGAGGCAGCAGUGGGGAAUUUUGGACAAUGGGCGCAAGCCUGAUCCAGCAAUGCCGCGUGAGUGAAGAAGGCCUUCGGGUUGUAAAGCUCUUUUGUCAGGGAAGAAACGGUUGAGGCUAAUAUCCUCGGCUAAUGACGGUACCUGAAGAAUAAGCACCGGCUAACUACGUGCCAGCAGCCGCGGUAAUACGUAGGGUGCAAGCGUUAAUCGGAAUUACUGGGCGUAAAGCGUGCGCAGGCGGUUUUGUAAGUCUGUCGUGAAAGCCCCGGGCUCAACCUGGGAAUUGCGAUGGAGACUGCAAGGCUUGAAUCUGGCAGAGGGGGGUAGAAUUCCACGUGUAGCAGUGAGAUGCGUAGAGAUGUGGAGGAACACCGAUGGCGAAGGCAGCCCCCUGGGUCAAGAUUGACGCUCAUGCACGAAAGCGUGGGGAGCAAACAGGAUUAGAUACCCUGGUAGUCCACGCCCUAAACGAUGUCUACUAGUUGUCGGGUUUUAAUUAACUUGGUAACGCAGCUAACGCGUGAAGUAGACCGCCUGGGGAGUACGGUCGCAAGAUUAAAACUCAAAGGAAUUGAC